AACAGGAUGACUUCUUUGUCAUCUCAUUUCUAAUCGAGCUUGCUUAUCCCAAUCCGUUUUACGACUGCGUUUGUGAUAGCCUCCGUUUGCAAACACAGACCAUUUUGUUCGAUCCCAGACAUGUAACUGUGCACUUCCUUUCUAAUCAUUUGCUGCAUCACACCCAAGAACUCUGCGCUGAAGAACUGUCUCUCAAUCCCCACCUUGUUCCCACUCUGAACUGCCUGCCUGGGUUCCGACGCGAGUUUCGGUACCUCACCG
rnacentral:misc_RNA from 1 species